UUUGGAAUCUUUUAUUACUAUCAAUGACAUAUUGACAAAGUUUGUAGGAAACUGGAUGUUUUAAUAAAUACAUCAAGUUUCAAAUUAAUUCAAACAUUGCCACUAAUUUGAAGAAAGCAUCAAAUGACAACUGCAGAGAAAAAAUAUGAAUGAUAUAUUCCUUAAAUACUUGCUGGUUGCAAAGCUUCAACAAUCAGAAGUUAUUCAGUGGUUAUGAUUAUUGCCGUUAAAUCAAUUAUAUCCCAAAGAAGGAUGGUGUGUGUUAAAAAAAAUGCUAAAACUAAUGUUGAAAAAAUUUUCUAUUAAAUAUUUAGGAAUCUCAUUUGACAGAUCCAGAGAAUGCUGGUGUGCCAACAUUCCUAUUUUUGAGGAACCUCAAAGCAACAUUCUGGAUAUUUCUUCAGGUGUUAAAAUAGGUUUAGCAGGAAAUAAUCUGUAGCACUAUUCAUUUCCUUGCCAGAUGCUUAAAAAUUUCAGCCGUAAGAUCAGCUGGAUUGUGGCCUCUCAAAAUGCAGGAGAAAAAAAAUGUGGAAACAUAGAAGUGUGAGUUCAGUUACAGGAUAAAUAAAAUACAAAACAGUGUUUGUGUUGUUGAGCCGUCUGAGAGCCCAGGACUUUGAGGCAAAGAAUGUCAUGACAACAGCAACAAAACUAAGCAAUGAAGUGUUCGCUACAGUCAGUCACUCCAGCAUGUAUGUACACACCCCCAGGUUUAGGUGUCUUUGCUGCUUGGUUACCUGUGUGGUUACAGUUGCAAGUUGUGGUAUCAGAGCUUGUCCUUUCUUACUAUGCCUCAGUGGUCUGAGAUUGGUCCCUGUGUUUCAGAGUAGUGAGCGUGGCUGCCCUAUUUAUGCCCUGCAGUGCAGCACAUCAUCAAAUGACAAAUGUCAAAGCUGGACUCAUCAGGAGACUCAUGAAAGCACAAGAUGCAUCUUUUCUACUGACAGUGAUUUCUGAAACUGCUUCUGAAACGGGCUGGAAUGAUUGUACUAAAUCUAUCACUUUCAGAGCAAAGUGUCAAGGUUAAAACUUAAGUCAAGCUUUUCCAUCCAAAUCUCAAUCUAAAGAAAGAAAAAGAAAAGUGAACAAUCUUUGUAGUGGUUUUGGAGAAAUAGCAAGUGAAGCAGAGUACCAAUAGUUUGAGUUAAAUAGUUAAAUGGAUAGACAGAAAAUAUUGAACUUCAUUCUUCUACCAACUUAUUUUCUGCGGAUGGAUCCAAAGUGGAGUGUUUCACCUUAACUUGAAUCUGAGCUAGAUGUAUCUUAAUCUAUGGGGAAAGAUAACAGCUAAAACCAUCUGAUCAAGGUCAGAAAAAAAAAAAAAAAAAGAAGAAGAAAGAAAGAAAAAAGAAGAAGGAAAGAAAGAAAAAAAAGUAAGAAAGUGGAAAUGAGUAUAUGUGGAGAAGAAAACAUGAGCCCUCCAAAAGUAAACCUGAAGUAAACACACAGCAACAUGAUCCAUAAACCAAAAGAAGACACCUCUGUAUGAUUAUGGAAGUUACCAGGAGACUGGGGAAAAUAAAAUACCCUGUAAUCAGAAGGUAAAUUUUGAUGUGCUAUAGGAGCAGUAUCAGCAUGGUACCGGAGAAGAAGUUUGAGUUACUAGAGGAUCCCUGGAGGUGUUCAAGAAACAUAGUUGUGGUACUGAGGGAUGUGUUUUAGUAGGCAUGAUGGUGAUGCACUGAUGGUUGGACUAGAUGAUCUUAGUGGUCUUUUCCAUCCUUUAUGAUUCUGUGAUUCUAACACAGUAACUGGAUUGCUCCUGUGAGCCCAUAGAUCACCUCCAGGCACCAAGGAGGGCUCUGGUGAGCCUGAUGAUAAUUCUUCAAUGCUGCAUUAACAGUGAGCAGGUCUCUGUCUUAUGGGCAUCAGCACAAACAUGGGAGCAAAAAUCAGGUUCCCCCACAUGUUAGUUUAAUGCAGUUGAUAAAGGCAAUUCAGAUAUUCUUGUGAUUUUGUUAGUCUAGUGCUUUGAUUUAUUUUAAAGGGCACUAUGUAUUGCUCUUAUUGCCUUUCUGUCUGCAUGCAUAAGUGAUGCUGUUUCUGAGAGCAAAUCUUUUUCACCCAUAGUGCUGUGAAAAUGAAAUAAUUUUCAAAUGUGUUUAAAUUAAAUAUGCUUAAAUUAUUUAGAAGCCUAGGAUUUAGGCCUAGAAUACAUUUUACUAUACUCAAAUAUUUGCUGCCUCUUCACGUGAUAGUUAUGCAGUUUUUGGCAUCUCAAUGUAAUUAAAGAUAACCUCCUCCCCAAAUAUUUCAUUAUAACAAUGUUGCUGCCUGCAUAGCUGAAUCCUACACAGAAAGGGGAAGGAAAUUUAUAAUAGUAUAUAAUGCUUUUAUUGAUAUUCAAG
ensembl:lncRNA